rnacentral:tRNA from 1 species
GGCGGAGUAGCUCAGUGGCCAGAGCAGAGGAUCCAUAAUCCUUUGGUCGAGGGUUCAAAUCCCCCCUCCGCUA